CCUACGGGAGGCAGCAGUAAGGAAUAUUGGACAAUGCUCGCAAGAGUGAUCCAGCCAUGCCGCGUGCAGGAAGAAUGCCCUAUGGGUAGUAAACUGCUUUUGAACUAGAGAAAACCCCAGUACGUGUACUGGGCUGAUAGUAUAGUUAGAAUAAGCAUCGGCUAACUUCGUGCCAGCAGCCGCGGUAAGACGAAGGAUGCAAGCGUUAUCCGGAUUCAUUGGGUUUAAAGGGAGCGUAGGUGGACUGAUAAGUCAGUGGUGAAAUCUCCGAGCUUAACUCGGAAAUUGCCAUUGAUACUGUUGGUCUUGAGUACAGUUGCUGUGGGCGGAAUAUGACAUGUAGUGGUGAAAUACCAUAGAGAUGUCAUAGAACACCGAUUGCGAAGGCAGCUCACAAAGCUGUAACUGACACUGAGGCUCGAAAGUGGNGGAGUACAACAGAGUAGUAUACCUACGUAGUCGCACCGUAACGAACGUAGUAUACUCGUCGUGUCGUAGGGGACGGUACCGUUAACGUUAGGUCGUUA
rnacentral:rRNA from 1 species